UCACCCAUGGCGUAGUGGCUAACACUCCCAUUUUGGAAUUUCGACACCCGGGUUCGAUUCCGGGUGCGGGCA